AUGAGUCAGGUACCUUUUGUUAAUCGGUCUGAAUGAAAAUAAUAAUAAUAAAUUUCCGUAAAUAUCAAAGCUCAUCAUCUUCAACAACUUGUUCUUCUUCCUCCUCCUCCCAAACUACCCUAAUCUCUGUCGGCUCAUCCGCAAAAACUGUAGCCUGCAACCACCGCGUCUUCCAGCAGAUAUUAGAGUUUUAUAUAUAUAAAAUUUUCAUGACGAAAAGUGACAGUUACAAUUGGUGUAAUAACUUGAUUUGUUAAAGGGGGAGAAAAUUAUUCUCAAAAAAAGGAAAUAAAUCAAGAAAACAAGUCAAAGUUAAAAUGAGGGUGUUAUACAGUACCCUACUUUGCACCUCCUUCUUUCUCUGUCUUCAUCACCAUCCAUCAGUCGUCGUCGUCGUCGUCGUGCCUGAGCAGCUUCCUCUCAGAGUUUCCUUCUUUUGCUCUGAGUUGUCUUCAUCAUUUUCCUUUACCUCAAAACGAUCGCGUCAGAGCCAUUUGACUCGCCUGCCCUAAGCCUUUCCCCAAAAAAAGAGUAGAGAGAAACGAAGUAGACCCAAACGACAACGGUUCGGAAAGGCUUUUUGAAGGGGCUCUUCUGGGUUGGUUGGGUCGAAGA
rnacentral:lncRNA from 1 species